rnacentral:lncRNA from 13 species
GCCCUGCCUCUCUGGCGAGUCCCGCCCUCCCGGCUCCCGCGCCCGGUCCCGGCUUCUCCCGCCCGGCAGCUGGGCCGUUCGGCGCGGGGCGGGGCGUCGGGGCGUCUCCGCAGCGGUCAGACCGGCCUGGGGACUUCGGGACAAUGAGCCUUUCUGUCUGAAAGCCGGGACCCAGCGCCGCAAAGAGACUUCCCUGCGGCUGCGGGAGAGACCUGCAGAAACUCGUGCGAGCCCAGCGGGCGGGCGCCCUGGGCUUCGGGGGAGCGGCCGCCGCGUGACCGGGACUCCCCUGCGCCUCCGUCCCAGCCGCCGCCAGCACCUGCCCUGGGAAGUGUCCGUUGCGGACACUGUAGGGGCCUUCAGUGGGAGCUGUCGCCGCCUGCACCCGCGCCGCUGCGGUUCGCGGGAAGCCCCUGUGGCUUUUCGGAAGCACAACGCAGAACGUCCGAUGGAGUCUCUCUGUCAUCCAGGAUGGAGGGAAAUGGCAUGA